AUUGAACGCUGGCGGCAUGCCUUACACAUGCAAGUCGAACGGUAACGAGCCUUCGGGUGCCGACGAGUGGCGAACGGGUGAGUAAUACGUCGGAACGUGCCCGAUCGUGGGGGAUAACGAGGCGAAAGCUUUGCUAAUACCGCAUACGAUCUACGGAUGAAAGCAGGGGACCGCAAGGCCUUGCGCGGACGGAGCGGCCGAUGGCAGAUUAGGUAGUUGGUGGGAUAAAAGCUUACCAAGCCGACGAUCUGUAGCUGGUCUGAGAGGAUGAUCAGCCACACUGGGACUGAGACACGGCCCAGACUCCUACGGGAGGCAGCAGUGGGGAAUUUUGGACAAUGGGCGCAAGCCUGAUCCAGCCAUGCCGCGUGCAGGAUGAAGGCCUUCGGGUUGUAAACUGCUUUUGUACGGAACGAAAAGCCUUCUUUUAAUACAGGAGGGUCAUGACGGUACCGUAAGAAUAAGCACCGGCUAACUACGUG
rnacentral:rRNA from 1 species